CUGGAUUCGAUUCUGCCUCUCCCCUGAGUUUGUUUUCUUGGUGGGACUAUCCAAGACUAAGGAGAAUGACGCCAUAUUGCUCUCCCUUUCUGAACCCAACCUUGCAGGACGUAUCUGGAUUUAUCCUUUUUAUCAGCAGAAUGAUACAUUUUCCAUAGCAAUGCUUGAACUCUGGUCCGUGAUGCAACAAGCUCCUCCAUGGUGGUAGAGUUUGUUUUUCCUUCAGAAAAUGUGAUUUGCAGAACAACAACAAGAAAACGUUUAAUAGGAAUGGUCCGUUCCCAUGGCCAGUCCUCAUGUAGAGCCACAAGAUGGUGCAGAGGAUGACAUGAAAUGAUGUGCGGGAGCGUGAUUUGCUAACAGGCAGCUCUGUAGGGCUGUAUGUAUUAAUAUUACAUGCAUCGAUAGGAGCGCCUGCUGCAGCUGCCUUUGCCAUAGUGAAUACACUGUGGGUCUAUUAUUCACCUCUUCAGGUCCAGCCCAGGAGUUUGUGUAGGCUCAUUUUUCACUUUCCUUUGACCCUGGAUGUCUCCACAAAUGAACCACCUGCUGUGUCUUGGUGGGGGUGGAGAUGUGGGGUGAAGUAAUGAGCCCACAAGGCCUGUCUGUGCCUAUUGGCUGCUCUAAAGGGAAAUUGAGGAAUACUGCAAAGCUGCAAAUCUGAGAUGUCAGCUCAUAAAUAUGUAAGCUCCUUGCUUAGGUAAUAAGCUCCCUGACAGCCAGAACUGUCAUUUGCACAUUCUCUUCAGCUGAACACAAAAGUUCCGGUUGCCAGACUGCCCCUGGAUACUGGGGACUAAAAGCUGGUGAUUGUGGAGGGGUGGGGGUGUGGGGAGGGGGCGCUGGGCUGACUGCUCUGGCUGCUCCCCACCCGACCGUGCUUUCAUCCCCACCCGACCGUGGUCAGAGGGGGGCUUUCUCUCUUGGUAUUUAAUUAGUAAGUGUAGGCAAAACUUUGCAUUGUGGCACUGGGAUAGGAAAAGAGCUGAACAUGAAUAUAAAAAUGGAGAUGGGGCCAGGUGUGGUGACUCACACCUGUAAUCCCAGCCGUCAAGGUGGGCAGAUCACUUGAGGUCAGGAGUUCGAGACCAGCCUGGUCAAGACGGUGAAAACUCUAUCUCUACUAAAAUACGAGCACAUUAGCCGGGCAUGGUGACACAUGCCCCAGCUAGAGGCAGGGAGACUGAGGCAGGAGAAUUGCUUGAACCCAGGAGGCGGAGGUUGCAGUGAGCCAAGAUUGCACCACUGCACUCUAGCCUGGGUGACAAAGUGAGACUCUGUCUCAAAAAAAAAAAAAAAAA
rnacentral:lncRNA from 1 species